rnacentral:rRNA from 1 species
GAUGAACGCUGGCGGCGUGCUUAACACAUGCAAGUCGAACGGUGAAGGCGGAGCUUGCUCUGCUGGAUCAGUGGCGAACGGGUGAGUAACACGUGAGCAAUCUGCCCCUGACUCUGGGAUAAGCGCUGGAAACGGCGUCUAAUACUGGAUACGAGCUGCGAAGGCAUCUUCAGCAGCUGGAAAGUAUUUCGGUUAGGGAUGAACUCGCGGCCUAUCAGCUUGUUGGUGGGGUAAUGGCUCACCAAGGCGUCGACGGGUAGCCGGCCUGAGAGGGUGACCGGCCACACUGGGACUGAGACACGGCCCAGACUCCUACGGGAGGCAGCAGUGGGGAAUAUUGCACAAUGGGCGAAAGCCUGAUGCAGCAACGCCGCGUGAGGGACGACGGCCUUCGGGUUGUAAACCUCUUUUAGCAGGGAAGAAGCGAAAGUGACGGUACCUGCAGAAAAAGCGCCGGCUAACUACGUG